rnacentral:tRNA from 1 species
GGGGAUUUAGCUCAGUGGUUAGAGCGCUUGCCUAGGAAGCGCAAGGCCCUGGGUUCGGUCCCCAGCUCCCA